UAUGAGCAGAAGCAGAAGGCUUCUAAAAAGUGAAACUUAUAACUACACACCACUUAAGGCCUGUAUGUUGACUGCUUUUUUCCCUCUGACAGAAUGUUCCUGCGGGCUCGUCUUCAUUUCCUGAUCUUGUUCCUGAGUUCUCUAAUGAGGAGGCCCAGGUGGACUCGCCUUGCUUUCAAGUUCCAGCCCACUGGUCAUGAGGCCCAUCUCCAGAGAUUCACCACUGGCCUUUUACAUUUCUAAACAAAACCUGGAGUGAACUAUGAAACUUGUGGCUUUUACUUCACUGCUUGAUUAUUUCAGAGUUUAAAUCUUGUCUGCCCUUCACAGGAAUUACAGCGAUGCUUGAUGUAAAGUUCUCAGCAAACGAUGCACACCUAAAACUACUAAUACCAAUACUUGUUUAAUAUUGGAUCAUAGUGAAAAAGUAAAAAAUGGCUCCAGGAAAGCAGCAUUUCUUGCUUGAUGAGAGCACACUAAAUGUGGACACUGAGUCUGGUUUUAUUCUUUGAAUGUUGAAUUAUGGUGGUCACAGAGGUGUAGAGGAGGAUGUGGUCUUAAAGUCAUGCCACAAUCCCACAGACACUCCUUGUUCAGAAUAUGAUCACCUUUAGAGCUUAAACAGAUGAACAUUUCUAGUUAACCUUGCUGUAUAGUAGUUGCAUAGUUGCGGUGGUUUAAAAAAAAGAUUGAUUAAAUAGAUUACCAAGAUAUUGACAGAUUUUUUCAUUAUAUCUGAUGUGCACUUUUCUUUAAAACAACACUACCUGUUCCAGCCUGGUGAGUUAAAGCUGUUAAAUUUUAGUUUUUUUUUUAGUUUUUAAGGCCUUUGCCAAAUACUAAUGCACUUCCUCCAAUAUAAAAUACUUUUCAACCAGUA